CCUACGGGUGGCAGCAGUAGGGAAUAUUGCUCAAUGGGGGAAACCCUGAAGCAGCAACGCCGCGUGAAGGAAGAAGGUUUUCGGAUUGUAAACUCCUUUUGUUAGGGAAGAAAAUGACGGUAUCUAACGAAUAAGCACCGGCUAACUCCGUGCCAGCAGCCGCGGUAAUACGGAGGGGGCAAGCGUUAUUCGGAUUCACUGGGUGUAAAGAGCGCGUAGGCGGGUUAGCAAGUCAGAUGUGAAAUCCUAUGGCUUAACCAUAGAACUGCAUUUGAAACUGUUAUUCUAGAGUUUGGGAGAGGUAGGUGGAAUUCUUGGUGUAGCGGUGAAAUGCGUAGAUAUCAAGAGGAAUACUGAUUGCGAAGGCGACCUACUGGAACAUAACUGACGCUGAUGCGCGAAAGCGUGGGGAGCAAACAGGAUUAGAUACCCGUGUAGUC
rnacentral:rRNA from 1 species